GACAUGGGUCUUGAAGGAUGAGCAGGCUUUGGCAGACCCCUCUGGAUCACAGCCUGUUCUGCUUCUCCUGUUACAACAUGAUCAGAGGCUCUAAUCUGGAUGAAAAAGAACAGAAAGGACUUUUUUGCUUCUCUGAGGACGGAGGUGGUCUACCCACACAACCUGACGACAUCUCUGACCUAGUGGAGUGUACAGUGGAUUUUUCCAGAGGGCAUGUGAUGUGUGAUAUCACAAUAGAUUGAAAGCAGGAGAUGUGAGAAUGUAUUUGCAGUCCAUAAAGCUAGACAUUAAAGGAGAUUUAUAAAAAGAUAAAAACAAUGCCGCUCUUCUCACCAAAAAAUUUUUUGUUUUG